GUAGUUAGCCGGGGCUUCCUCCUUGAGUACCGUCACUUCCUUCUUCCUCAAGGACAGAGGUUUACAAUCCGAGAACCUUCUUCCCUCACGCGGCGUUGCUGGGUCAGGCUUUCGCCCAUUGCCCAAUAUUCCCCACUGCUGCCUCCCGUAGGAGUCUGGGCCGUGUCUCAGUCCCAGUGUGGCCGAUCACCCUCUCAGGUCGGCUACCCAUCGUUGACUUGGUGGGCCGUUACCUCACCAACUAUCUAAUGGGACGCGAGCUCACCCCUCACCGGAUUCCUCCUUUGACCCCUUCGUCAUGUGACAUUGUGGUCUUAUGCGGUAUUAGCACCUGUUUCCAAGUGUUAUCCCCCUGUGAAGGACAGAUUGCUCACGCGUUACUCACCCGUCCGCCGCUAAAACAGAAACCGAAGCUUCUGUCUCCGCUCGACUUGCAUGUGUUAGGCACGCCGCCAGCGUUCGUCCUGAGCCAUAAUCAAACUCUGA
rnacentral:rRNA from 1 species